CUGAUCAACUUUUUUCUUCCAUAUAUUUUUCUAUCUUAGUAAUAGAAAGCAAUCCUUGGUUUCCAUGGAGCAGUGAAUCUUCUUCUAUCUCUACAUCUCCCCAUCUUAACUCAGUUGAUCAUUAGUGCUUCGGAAAAGGUAACCAGAUAUUUCUUCUAUCACCACUGAUUUAUUGCUUCUGUCCUAUGAUCGCGAUUGACUAAAUAUGCAUGAUACCUUGAUCCACGGAUUCAUCCCUGCCGGUCGUGCCAAUCACUACCGUAACAAAGAUCAGAUGUUAUCUGCAAUGGAAUCUCCGUCGUUAAACUACAAACCCAAUGCGAGAAAAAGCAAGACCCUUUUGAAGUAUUCAUGUGAAGAGAUCGAAGAGAGGAUGGCGAAUUGGGUUCUGGUUCCAUUGUGAAAGUGGAUUGGUUUUGCACACUGCAGUAACAUGUUCAAGACUAUUGAUCAUCAAUUUGUCAUUCGUUUUCUCCCAUCAACAACUAUUGAAGAAGUCCUUACCGCCACUCACGUGAUCUAUCUUCAGAAGUUCAAACUUCAGAAGUUCAUGCUUUGCCAGUUUUGGAUUCGUUAAGCUAGAUUUCAACUUUCAGAUGUAGUAAGUUACGUCCAAGGCUCUGACAUAAACAACCACGCAGUAUCGACUCGAGUUGUGGCCCGUCUCCUAAUUGACCCAAGAUCAGAACCUUGAUUGUUUACUUAUCUUUGUGGGAUGAGGCUCCGUCAACUUGCCGAAUCUUUUGAGUUUAGGGGAUAAAUCCCGGUUUGUGAUGGUGGUCACUACGGUUAAUCCAAAGAUACUUGGAGGUUUAUGAAUAUAAUUUUAUUAUUAAAACCUGUGUAAUGGUUAUGAUUAUCGGACCACAUAUGUCUAUUUGAACCUGUCUAAAUUUAAUUUUAUUACUA